UGCCCCGGUCCGGGAAGAUCCCACGUGCCGCGGAGUGGCUGGGCCCGCGAGCCAUGGCCGCUGGGCCUGCGCGUCUGGAGCCUGUGCUCCGCGACGGGAGGGGCCGCAGCAGUGAGAGGCCCGCGUACCGCAAAAAAAAAAAAAAUGUACCUCAAUAAAAUACAUCUUAGCCGUUGCUUGAAAAGCUUUUCCUUUAAUUUUUAAAUAGAAAUGUUCUUGGCUGUGGAAUUUAUUCUAAUUGAACUUGACCUGUAGAAGACAGGGUCCUGGCAAGCAACAGCUCAGCACCUAAUUAGGGGACAAAUGGAAGCCUGUGAAAACCCUCAAGGCUGCAGUGUGCCCCCAGCCGGGGAAGCGAGCGUCCUCAUUUCUGAAGCGGGGGACCAUCCCUGAGAUGGACGGGAGGAAACACGGAUGCCGCCGAAGACCCACCAGACAGAGGACGUAGCAAAAUCUACUUCCGGAUACACGCCAUUAGGUCUUGAAAACAAUUACCAUCAUUAGCUGUGUAUAAAAGCAAAUGAAACCAUAUAAAGUAUUGAUGUAAGUCAGAAAGAAAGUUGAAUACUACGACUGGAAGAGACAGGUAAAAAAUAAAGAACUAUGGGAACACGAAGGAAAAGUGAUAAAAGACACUGCCAUCAACUCAGGGGCUGAAAGCCACCCAGUGGUCCCGGACAAUGAACACUGCAGUGACAAAAGGGUCCAGUGGGACAGUGAACCCUGUGUCCACCACCAACUACUGGGAUGGAUCUCACACAUACUCAAACUAAAACCCAUUACAAGGAAAAGUGCCAGUUUCAGUGAAAGACAACAAAUGCGUUACAUCAGUUAUCUGCUAUCGUGCAGAGAAGUGAUAACUUACCGAAAGUGGGAUUGGAUAACCAAUGAUGGCAGUAUCAGGGAAAAAACAAAUUCCCCGGAGUACACGGCAAGCACUGCCUUAUUCAGAGGAACAGAGCAACAUAGGAACCAGUCAGAGAGACGAGACUGUCAUUUCGGUGAAGAACCAACAGAAGCUGACUACCACCAAUAAUGUACCAAGGCCAAAAUUUUCACAUCUGUAUCUUUCCUUUCUGGUAGGCAACCGAUACACCUAAAUCAUAUAAAACAUUCAAAAAAAACCCAAGACCAUGUCUUUCCUCUGAUUUUAAGCACGUUGAUAUUUGCUUGACUUCACCAAAAUGUACGAAAACAAAUGAUACAAUAAUUGGGAAUAAUAGACUUAAAAGCACUAUGCCUAAAUUUCUUGGACAAAGAUGUUCAAACAAGCAGAUCGGAGGUUCUGGACGUGAGUGUGGGGACAGAACCAAAUGCAUCGAUAAUAACAAUCUCAGUUUUGUUACCAUAUCCACAGCAAAAGUCCUUAGUCUCCCUGGGGGACUUGGACAUGAAGGCCAACCAGAGCUCUGCAAAGCACUGUGAACCAGAUCCAGGGUGACUGCCCUCUUGCUUACACAGCACCAGCCUGGAAAGAGGGCCCAAUUCUUAGGGCUCCCCGUCUCACUUCUACAAUCAGAUUCCUUUUAAAGGAUCUCACAGAUAGUUUUUGGAUACCGUUUCGCUGGCCUCUUAAAUGUUCUCUCCUUCAAAUAUAUCUCUAAGGUAGUUUUGCCAAAAAACGAUUCCGUCUCCUUAAACAGGCUCAUUAAAUAAGCUCCGAAGACGGCAGAUUUAGAGGCAAUUCUGUUUCACAUUUCUCUAAGUCAUUUUGCAAUGACCACUGCCAUGAAAAAGGACUUCCCACGUGUAUUUUCUUUGCGGGAGAUUUGUUUAUUCAAACGUAAUUACAUAACCACUAAGCGCCCUGCAACAAAAAAAAAAAGUUCUUUUUAACAUUCCUCAGCCUCAGGAUUAUUUGAUUUGUUAACCUGGCUCACUUUUUCCUGGCAUUAAAGGGAGAGUUAAAACAAAAAGCCAGUUUUUGAAAACCUUUCGCGCACUUGGGCAGAACCGCGGCCUCCGGGCACACGCGGGCAGGAUGAGUCAGUGGGAUACACUGCAAAGAAAUGAGAUUAGUUGUGCCCAAAGCUGCCUCGCUGGACACCAGUUGCUAGAAGGGAACGUGGGCCCCUUCGGUAAGCAGGUGCAGGGCCCACCCCAGGCACUCAUUCCAUUUGCAGGACUCAUCACACAUUUGCUCCAGGCCCGUAAGACAGUUCGCAGGUCCUGGGUGCGCCCCGCGGAGGCGCAAGGCAGCCGCAAGCAGAGCGCGCAACGUCGCAGCGCAGCGGCCGCCAGGCCCCGUGGGGUCUUGCAAGGUUCAAAUUCCGCCUCAGGAUCCGGUUAAAGAGCAGGCUUGUUUUUCUUGUAUUAGGGAAGUCAC